AAGGAUGCAUUUUGGAUAUGACAAGUUAAUCAUCCCUCUCCAAUUCUGACGUUUUUCAUCCAAUCAUUGGUUGUGGCAAUCCUUCUGGGAUUACGGGUUGCAGGGGAACUAGCAAACCUGAACCUGUUCGUGUAACUGAUGCGAGAGGAACGGUCUUGAUGAUACAUGAGUCAAGUGAAAGUUCGUUUUAUCACCACCAGAGUGUCUCAAAACAUGGAGGAGGGAACACUGGAUCUUACAUAAUUGCGAAAUGCACAAAUUUUUCCAUCUUGGGGCGGCAGGGCUGAAACCGGAUCCCAUUUGAAUCUGCUCAUGCCAUGCCAUGCAAUCAGUUUCUGAAAAGAAUGAAAUUUGACUUUUGAGAGAGGGAGUUGUCGUAGGAGGCUCGAGAGAAAAAUAUAUUUUGCUCCUCAAAUUUCAACAGGGAAUCGCUAUAUUUAAAUUCUUUUGAUAAAAUUUAAUUAACUGGUGGAAGGCUGUCCUGACACUGCUACCGAACAUAUUUGAAAAAGGAUAAAUUACCUUUUAUA